GCGGGGGGAGGAGGAGUGGGGGUAGGUUUUGUUCUUUUUUUCAUUCUAGGUCAUUUCUUUGGGGUCGUCUCUGAGAUGGACUUUGUCACCUGGGGUUACCUGGGGCCGAGGCGGCACCAGAGGAAGGACCUCUGGCGUUUCAGUCCUAAGGGCCCCUCAGGCCCGGAGAUGGCCUGGAUGUCAGUGCUGACGAGGCAGUGGCCAAUCAGGGCAGAGAGCGUGGGGAGGUGGUCAGGAUGGCAAAGUCUGGAUCUUCCUUGCUUGCCUCCCAAACCGGGGUCCUUACUGCCACGCUUCCGAGGGUUUCAUCCCCCCCACUCCGUGGGCCGCCCACCCACCCCUCCCCCGCCCAGCAUGUGUCUUCGAGCGGGUCCAACAGCACUGGCAUCUCUGCUCUCACGCCUCCUCCUGCAGCCCUGGGUUUGCAUCUCUCUUUUCCCCUCUCGAGCCCUCUGCCCUCGGGGUCCCCGCUGCGUGGCUGCCCUGGUGGCUCUUCUCUAGGCGCCACUGUCUGCACUGUUUUCUUUGCAUGACUCUAUCUGCAGUAAGUAUGCUGAAAACAAAAGAAAAGAAGAAAAAUCACUCAACAAAACCAAGCUACAUGUUUUGGAUAAAAAAAAAAAUAGAGGUUGUAUUUUCAGUGUCCGACUCGGGAUUACGUUGCUGCCUCUCUGUGCUUUUGGCCUCUGUGUGGCCGUGUUUGCCAGCAUGAGAUACUGUCCCCUCUGGAGGAUUUUAGGGGAGGAAGAGCUGCAUCCCCAGAGCUUUGAAGGAGGCUCUGGUUCCCCAGAACCUCUGGGGAGUCCUGGGUUGAGCAGAGCAGGACAGAUGGGGUUGGGAUCCAGGACGCCUUGAGUUCCCCGAUUGUGAGCUGUCUGCUGGGCCCCUGCUCGCAGCACAGGGGAUGCAGGCUGGGCGGGGGCUGCCCAGCCCGCCUGGCCUCCAAACUGGUCGAUCAACUGGCCUCUAUCCUUGGCAGAGACCCUGCUGCCGAGGCCUACAGUGGGCUCUUGGCCCGCCCCAGGUCCAGAGGGCUUCCCAGUAAGGCCCAGUGAUCCCAGUGCCCCAGCUGCAAAACUGCCUGCCUUCCCGGUGAGCUGCCAGCUCCCACAGCCAUCCCCCGGCCUAAGGUGAGGGGCUGCUGCAAUUACCAAGGCAAAGUCUGGUCCCUUCUUCAGCCUCAGUUUCCCCCUCUGUUAAAGGGGUUUAAUCUUCCAGCCCAGCCUAUUGUCAGGGCUGAUGGGGGAAUCAAACAGGAUGGAGAAGCGAAGCCCAUCCGCCCGCCCGUGGGAGCUGACAGGGUCAUUAGGCUUCCAUCCAUGGCUCUGACCAGACUUGCUGCAUGGAUGAGCCCCUUCCCUGCUGUGGUCCUCGGCUCCCACCAGAGGGAGCUGAGCUGGAGGACUCCCACCUCCCGUCCGCCGUGCCCCUCUCUGGACGCUAGAGAAGUGGGUCCCUACCCCAGGCCAAGGUGGCCAGGCCUGGCGGUGGGCAGCCAGCCAGUGUGGACCACAGGCUACUGGCGUGACCUCGAGGUGGAAGGCAGGGUAGACUGGCAGGCAAAGCGGCCCAGCGCUCACUCUACCAGGCAGGCAAACAUCCCGUCGAUGCAAAAACUCCAGACUUAAGAUGAGUCCGUGACUUAAAAGCACUCGCCUGGAGGUGCGCCCAGCGAGGGCUGGUCCUAACCCACUGCCUCCCGUCUCCCUUCAAAGGGGGACCCUCUGGGGGAUGUGUUUGCCAGACUCCCCGUGCUGGUUUCUUUGUUACUAUUUGUUUGGGGGUUUGUUUCCGUUCUUUUUUUAUAACAUGUGGCUGUGAACUUGAAUGACCACUGCUCAAACUUUCUGCUAUUGUGGGGCUGGGGGGAAGAAGGGGUGUCUGUUUUAUUAUUGGUGUUUUCAGUGCAAUAAAAAGCUACAAACUUC